rnacentral:rRNA from 1 species
GACGAACGCUGGCGGCGUGCUUAACACAUGCAAGUCGAACGGUAAGGCCUUCGGGUACACGAGUGGCGAACGGGUGAGUAACACGUGGGUGAUCUGCCCUGCACUUUGGGAUAAGCCUGGGAAACUGGGUCUAAUACCGAAUAGGACCACGCGCUUCAUGGUGUGUGGUGGAAAGCUUUUGCGGUGUGGGAUGGGCCCGCGGCCUAUCAGCUUGUUGGUGGGGUAAUGGCCUACCAAGGCGACGACGGGUAGCCGGCCUGAGAGGGUGACCGGCCACACUGGGACUGUGAUACGGCCCAGACUCCUACGGGAGGCAGCAGUGGGGAAUAUUGCACAAUGAGCGCAAGCCUGAUGCAGCGACGCCGCGUGAGGGAUGACGGCCUUCGGGUUGUAAACCUCUUUCAGUAGGGACGAAGCGCAAGUGACGGUACCUAUAGAAGAAGGACCGGCCAACUACGUGCCAGCCGCCGCGGUAAAAC